UUUUGAGGGAGUCUCUUCUAAUGUCUUUUGCCAACUCAGGCUGGCAAAAACCACCCCACAGCACAGCGUAAGCAUCAGACUCGCAGUUGGGCUGGUUGGAGGUGAGUCCCAGACACGCUGUAACACCACAGUGUGAGGAAUUUGUCCUCGGGAGCCAGAGCUGUGGCCACUGAGAGAGGAACAGUCAAGAACAGAGGAGUUCGCGUAACUGCACCUAACUCCUGAGGAUGUGCAAAAGCUUUUGGUCAAACACUCUGACUGUCUGUCUCCAGCUUGGGCAUCUUAAAUUAAAUCUUCCCAUUUUUUU